UUCUGACCGUAAACGAUGCCAACUAGCGAUCCGCCGGUGGAUUUUUAGCCCUGGUGGGUAGCUUCCCGGAAACGAAAGUCUUCCGGUUCCGGGGGAAGUAUGGUUGCAAAGCUGAAACUUAAAGGAAUUGACGGAAGGGCACCACCAGGAGUGGAGCCUGCGGCUUAAUUUGACUCAACACGGGGAAACUCACCCGGCCCGGACACCGUAAGGAUUGACAGAUUGAUAGCUCUUUCAUGAUUCGGUGGUUGGUGGUGCAUGGCCGUUCUUAGUUCGUGGAUCGAUUUGUCUGGUUUAUUCCGAUAACGAGCGAGACUCUAGCCUACUAAAUAGUAACGAGAUUAUCAAUGUCUCAGUUGCUUCUUAGAGGGAUUUUCGGUGUUUAGCCGCACGAGAUUGAGCAAUAACAGGUCUGUGAUGCCCUUAGAUGUCCGGGGCUGCACGCGCGCUACACUGGCGAAAUCAGCGUGCUGUAUCCAUUCUCGAAAGGGAUUGGUAAACCCAUGAAAAUUUGCCGUGCUUGGGAUCGGAAAUUGCAAUUAUUUUCCGUGAACGAGGAAUUCCAAGUAAGUGCGAG
rnacentral:rRNA from 1 species